UUUAUUAUAAGUAGCUAUAAUUAUUAUAAGUAUAAAAUGUGGAAGUAAAGUGAAAAAUAUUUUAAAUAUAAGUAAAAUAGUAUAUUUAAUAGAAUAGUUGGUUAAUAUGGCGAUAGUGUAAUAGUACUGAUAAGGAAACUUGAAAUAAUAGUUUAUAGUAGAUGAAAGUUAAAGUAGGUUUUAAAGUCUUUACCUUGUGUAUUAGGGAAAAUUAAAAUUAAGAACUUAUUGUUUAGAUCUCGAUAGAAAAGUGUCUAAUUAUAGUUUAUUAUUUUAUGUGUAAAAAUGAUAUUAAAAACAUAAUUAGUAGUGAAAUGUUGGUCGAAUUUUUAUAUCUAGUUGCUUUCGAAAUAAAUUUAAUUUAGUUUAUUUUUUAUAUAAAAAAUAAGUAAAGCACAGGAGGGAAGAGCUUCUUGUGCAAUAAUAUAGGGGUAGAAGAGGUAAAUUUGAUUAAUUAUUAGAAAUAGGCUUAGAGGUAGCUAUUUUUGUAAAGUGUUUUAACUAAUAAUUAAAAUCUAUUAGAAUUACUCUACUUUGGUAGGUAGCUUUAGUAAGGAAUAUAUAAUAACUUGAUAUAUUGGUUUUAUUAGUAAUAUUUGUUGUUAGGAAUUGAUAAAAUAAUUAAAUAAAUUUUAUUUUUUAAUUUAAGAAUGUUUUUAUUAAGGAACUCGGCAAAUAAAAUUUCUGCCUGUUUAUCAAAAACAUGUCCUAUUGAAGUUUUAAUAGGUCUGGCCUGCCCACUGAAAUUUAAAGGGCCGCGGUAUUUUGACCGUGCGAAGGUAGCAUAAUCAUUAGUUUUUUAAUUGAAGGCUUGUAUGAAUGGUCGGACAAGAAAUAAGCUGUCUUUAUGGGAUUUAUUGAAUUUAACUUUUAAGUAAAAAGGCUUAAAUGAAUUAAGGGGACGAUAAGACCCUAUAAAGCUUUAUAAUUUUUCUUAUUUUUUAAGAAUAGUUUGUAAAAGUUAAUUUAUUAGAGAAAUUAUUAUGUUGGGGCGACAAGAGUAAAAUUUAUUAUCUGCUUUUAUUUUAUAACAAAUAAUUUUUGUAGUAUUAAUGAUCCUAGUUAAAGAUUAUAAGUUUAAGUUACUUUAGGGAUAACAGCGUAAUUCUUUUUGAGAGUCCUUAUCGAGAAAAGAGUUUGCGACCUCGAUGUUGAAUUAAGUUGUCUUCUUAUGUGCAGCAGCUAGGAUAGAUGGUCUGUUCGACCUUUAAAAACUUACAUGAUUUGAGUUCAAACCGGCGUGAGCCAGGUUGGUUUCUAUCUUUUAAUAUAGAGAUACUUUUUUAGUACGAAAGGAUUAAGAAGUGUAAAUAGUUUAUAAUAAAGAAAAAU
rnacentral:rRNA from 1 species